rnacentral:misc_RNA from 1 species
AAAGUGCGAAAUGUAGUGCGAUUUGCAUGAAUCUGUGAGUCAUCUAAUCUUUGAACGCAACUUGCGCCCUCUAGGGCAUGUCUGUUUGAGUACCGCAUCCUAACUGCAGCAAUGCGAACUGACCUUGGCGCUGGGCCUCGGUUUGAAUGGAGCAAGUAGGGCGCGCUGGGCUGUCCGACUAUAUGCCAGGAUCUUAUAGUUUGACGGCUGGGCGACCCGCCAAUCUUUUAUUUUUGGUCUCAAAUCAGGCAAGACUACCCGCUGAACUUAA